rnacentral:ncRNA from 1 species
UAAUCUUGUUAAACCCUGUCGUGCUGGGGAUAGAGCAUUGCAAUUAUUGCUCUUCAACGAGGAAUGCCUAGUAGGUCACGAGUCAUCAGCUCGUGCGAUUACGUCCUGCCCUUGUACACACGCCGUCGCUACUACCGAUUGAAUGGCUCGGUGAGCCUUCGGACUGCCCCAGGAGGGUUGGCAACGACCCCCAGGGCCGGAAAGUUGGUCAAACCCGGCAUUUAGAGGAAGUAAAGUCGUAACAAGGUUUCCGUAGGUGAACCUGCGGAAGGAUCAUUA